rnacentral:rRNA from 1 species
UGGGGAAUUGUUCGCAAUGGGCGCAAGCCUGACGACGCAACGCCGCGUGGAGGAUGAAGGUCUUCGGAUUGUAAACUCCUGUUGAUCGGGACGAACGGCUCCUGGGUAAAUAGCCCGGGAGAGUGACGGUACCGAUUGAGGAAGCCACGGCUAACUCUGUGCCAGCAGCCGCGGUAAUACAGAGGUGGCAAGCGUUGUUCGGAAUUACUGGGCGUAAAGGGCGCGUAGGUGGCCUUCUUAGUCAGACGUGAAAUCCCCGGGCUUAACUCGGGAACUGCGUCUGAUACUGGAAGGCUCGAGUUCGGGAGAGGAAUGUGGAAUUCCAGGUGUAGCGGUGAAAUGCGUAGAUAUCUGGAGGAACACCGGUGGCGAAGGCGGCAUUCUGGACCGAAACUGACACUGAGGCGCGAAAGCCAGGGGAGCAAACGGG